rnacentral:rRNA from 1 species
GAGGUACAGCCUGCCCAGUGACAUUGUUCAACGGCCGCGGUAUCCUAACCGUGCGAAGGUAGCGUAAUCACUUGUUCUUUAAUUGAGGACUAGUAUGAAUGGCUUCACGAAGACUGUACUGUCUCCUUUUUCUAAUCAAUGAAACUAAUCUCCCCGUGAAGAAGCGGGGAUAUGUCUAUAAGACGAGAAGACCCUAUGGAGCUUUAAACAACUGAAAUACCUGCUUUUUAAUUUAACAUUUUUCCGAAAGCUAAACCCAUAUUAAGCAUGCUAAUUUCUAGUUUUAGGUUGGGGUGACCACGGAGUAAAAAUCAACCUCCACGCCGAACAGAGCCAUUUUCUUUAGCAAAAAGUUACACUUUAUUCAUCAACAUAUUGACCUUCAUUGACCCAAUAAUUUGAUCAACGAACCAAGUUACCCUAGGGAUAACAGCGCAAUCUACUUCGAGAGCUCAUAUCGACAAGUAGGUUUACGACCUCGAUGUUGGAUCAGGGUAUCCCAGUGGUGUAGCCGCUACUAAGGGUUCGUUUGUUCAACGAUUAAAAC